rnacentral:rRNA from 1 species
GGGAAACUGCCUGAUGGAGGGGGAUAACUACUGGAAACGGUAGCUAAUACCGCAUAACGUCGCAAGACCAAAGAGGGGGACCUUCGGGCCUCUUGCCAUCAGAUGUGCCCAGAUGGGAUUAGCUAGUAGGUGGGGUAACGGCUCACCUAGGCGACGAUCCCUAGCUGGUCUGAGAGGAUGACCAGCCACACUGGAACUGAGACACGGUCCAGACUCCUACGGGAGGCAGCAGUGGGGAAUAUUGCACAAUGGGCGCAAGCCUGAUGCAGCCAUGCCGCGUGUAUGAAGAAGGCCUUCGGGUUGUAAAGUACUUUCAGCGAGGAGGAAGGUGUUGAGGUUAAUAACCUCAGCAAUUGACGUUACUCGCAGAAGAAGCACCGGCUAACUCCGUGCCAGCAGCCGCGGUAAUACGGAGGGUGCAAGCGUUAAUCGGAAUUACUGGGCGUAAAGCGCACGCAGGCGGUCUGUCAAGUCGGAUGUGAAAUCCCCGGGCUCAACCUGGGAACUGCAUUCGAAACUGGCAGGCUAGAGUCUUGUAGAGGGGGGUAGAAUUCCAGGU